UACGGAGGGUGCAAGCGUUAAUCGGAAUUACUGGGCGUAAAGCGUGCGUAGGCGGUUCGUUAAGUCUGUUGUGAAAGCCCCGGGCUCAACCUGGGAAUGGCAAUGGAUACUGGCGAGCUAGAGUGUGUCAGAGGAUGGUGGAAUUCCCGGUGUAGCGGUGAAAUGCGUAGAGAUCGGGAGGAACACCUGUGGCGAAAAGCGGCUCACUGGACCAUAACUGACGCUGAGGCACGAAAGCUAGGGGGAGCAAACAGG
rnacentral:rRNA from 1 species